ensembl:rRNA 5S_rRNA 5S ribosomal RNA
ACUUGCGACCAUACCACUCUUACAAAGCUUGAUCUCGUCUGAUCAUGGAAGCAAAGCAGAGUUGGGCCUGGUUAGUACUUGGAUGGGAGCCUGCCUGGGAAUAACAGGUGCUGUAAGCU